UCCCUAGCGCCGCCGCCACUCUCUCGGGAUCCCUCCCGAUCCAAACCCACCAAUCACCAGCCCCUCUUGAUCCCCUCCAUCCAGAGCACCUCUGCCCGAGCUCCUCCCGCAGCUCCCCAUCGCCCUCGACCCUGCCUCAUCGUCCGGCCGACACCAGCGACCGAAACCUCGCCGGAGAUGAGUGCCCCGACAGCCCCGCUCCUUUUUCCCUCCUACUUCUCAACCUCUUUUUCUCACGAUCUUCCCUUUCCUUUCUCUAUUUUUCCUCUCACAGGGAACCAUGGAGCCGCUGUUUGGAGCUCCAUUACCGCCUCUCCCGCCGUCAACUCCCCGGACCGUCGACUCCCGGCCUCUGCCAACCUUCCUGUAGCCGCCCCGGUGUUCCCAGCCUCCUCCCCACGGAGUUCGCCGCCGCUGCUCUGCUUCCUGAUGAGCAGGGGAUGAGGCGCACGCUCACCACCCGCUCCCGUUGGCCGCGACGCCCGGGACCGCGUCGACCUCCUCGGCUCGCCUUCUACUUCGUGCGUCGACACCACGCCAAGCCGCCGCCGUCCCCGCGAUGUCCCUGCAGCCAAGUCGAUGCCGCUGUCCUCUGCAUCGACAUGGACGCGCAGCUAGAGCCCCGCCUUCCUCCGCCUCGCCUGUGGCCUCCUCUGUACAGGGUCCGGCCCCAACGCACCACCCCAUGACCACCUAGAGCACCCACGCCCGCCGUCGACGAAGGUCACGGCCAGCGCCAUGGAUUUGGAGCCCCGCACCCGAGCUCCGUCCGCCACUGUUGCCCGGAACCGACGCCGGACGUCUCGAUCCGCCUGUUCCCGCCGGUUCUUGUCGUCCCCGUUGCCAGGACCCCCCUGCCGUCGUCUCCUGCAUCACCAUGGACGUGCUGCUGUUUCUUUUCUUCAGAAGCGAACAGCAGCAACUCGCCCGCUCGUCUCGCCCGCGUGUUGACUGAGCGCAGGGUUAAUAGGCCUAGUUGCACGCCCCCUGCAGGCCUUCCCUCUCCACUAGUUGGGCCAAGGCCCAAUGGUCAGCAGCUGCCAACCCCCCCUCCCCUGUGCUGUUGGGCCAACCUCAGAUUCGGCCCAAUGUAUUUUUUCCCUUGUCUGUGAUUUUUUCCUUAUUCCCGAGGCAACAGUUUUGCAGAAAACCCCUUCAUGAUCAUGCAUAUAAGAACUCUCCAACCAUGCAUCAUAUGUAAAAACUUUAUAUAUGAAACUUGCUUAGAUUUU